rfam:Jaapia argillacea MTCL 33604 unplaced genomic scaffold JAAARscaffold_3, whole genome shotgun sequence.
GGCAUUGUAGUGUAGUGGUCUUAUCACUUCGGAUUUUGACCCAGCGCAACUUCCGACGACCCAGGUUCGAGUCCUGGCAACGCCU